UACGUAGGCAGCAAGCGUUGUUCGGAAUUACUGGGCGUAAAGAGUGUGUAGGCGGUUCGCUAAGUUCGGUGGGAAAUCUCCCGGCUUAACUGGGAGGGGGCGCCGGAAACUGGCGGGCUUGAGUAUGGGAGAGGAAAGCGGAAUUCCUGGUGUAGCGGUGAAAUGCGUAGAUAUCAGGAGGAACAUCUGUGGUGUAGAAGGCUUUCUGGCCCGUCACUGACGCUGAGACACGAAAGCGUGGGUAGCAAACAGG
rnacentral:rRNA from 1 species